AUACGAAGGGGGCUAGCGUUGUUCGGAUUUACUGGGCGUAAAGCGCACGUAGGCGGAUUGAUUAGUUAGGGGUGAAAUCCCGAGGCUCAACCUCGGAACUGCCUUUAAUACUGUCAAUCUCGAGACCGGAAGAGGUGAGUGGAACUCCUAGUGUAGAGGUGGAAUUCGUAGAUAUUAGGAAGAACACCAGUGGCGAAGGCGGCUCACUGGUCCGGUACUGACGCUGAGGUGCGAAAGCGUGGGGAGCGAACAGGAUUAGAAACCCUGGUAGUCC
rnacentral:rRNA from 1 species